rnacentral:rRNA from 1 species
AACGAACGCUGGCAGCAUGCCUAACACAUGCAAGUCGAACGAGACCUUCGGGGCUAGUGGCGCACGGGUGCGUAACGCGUGGGAACCUGCCCUUAGGUUCGGAAUAACUCCCCGAAAGGGGUGCUAAUACCGGAUAAUGUCUUCGGACCAAAGAUUUAUCGCCUUUGGAUGGGCCCGCGUUGGAUUAGCUAGUUGGUAGGGUAAAAGCCUACCAAGGCGACGAUCCAUAGCUGGUCUGAGAGGAUGAUCAGCCACACUGGGACUGAGACACGGCCCAGACUCCUACGGGAGGCAGCAGUGGGGAAUAUUGGACAAUGGGCGAAAGCCUGAUCCAGCAAUGCCGCGUGAGUGAUGAAGGCCUUAGGGUUGUAAAGCUCUUUUACCCGGGAUGAUAAUGACAGUACCGGGAGAAUAAGCUCCGGCUAACUCCGUG